AACGAACGUCUGAGGCUAUGUCCCGAUACAGCAGUAUCUCAAAUACAGUACUGCUGUGACAGGACAAUAUCUCAGGCGUCGC
rnacentral:pre_miRNA from 1 species